AAGACUUUACUUUUAGAGAUCAUUCUAUAGUAUGUUAAUAGAGAAUUGUGGCUGAAAGUGUAGUAUGAAGGUAACCACGAGGAGGAGCUGUGGUGUUCUCUUCUGAGCUUGAUGACAGUUUGUGACUCUGCUUGUCAGUAACUGCCACCUAUCAUUGAUGAUUGUUCUUCCCUGCCUUCAGAUUGGGUGAGAGGAAGAGAAUGCAGGCCUCAGCAGG
rnacentral:snoRNA from 1 species